UACAGAGGGUGCAAGCGUUGUUCGGAAUUAUUGGGCGUAAAGGGCGCGUAGGCGGUGCUGUAAGUCUGUAGUGAAAUCUCUGGGCUCAACUCAGAGUCUGCUAUAGAAACUGCAGUGCUGGAGUGUGGGAGAGGUGAGUGGAAUUUCCGGUGUAGCGGUGAAAUGCGUAGAUAUCGGGAGGAACACCUGUGGCGAAAGCGGCUCACUGGACCACAACCGACGCUGAGGCGCGAAAGCUAGGGGAGCAAACAGG
rnacentral:rRNA from 1 species